rnacentral:rRNA from 1 species
AUUGAACGCUGGCGGCAGGCCUAACACAUGCAAGUCGAGCGGAUGAGUGGAGCUUGCUCCAUGAUUCAGCGGCGGACGGGUGAGUAAUGCCUAGGAAUCUGCCUGGUAGUGGGGGACAACGGUUUCGAAAGGAACGCUAAUACCGCAUACGUCCUACGGGAGAAAAGUGGGGGGAUCUUCGGACCUCACGCUAUCAGAUGAGCCUAGGUCGGAUUAGCUAGUUGGUGAGGUAAAGGCUCACCAAGGCGACGAUCCGUAACUGGUCUGAGAGGAUGAUCAGUCACACUGGAACUGAGACACGGUCCAGACUCCUACGGGAGGCAGCAGUGGGGAAUAUUGGACAAUGGGCGAAAGCCUGAUCCAGCCAUGCCGCGUGUGUGAAGAAGGUCUUCGGAUUGUAAAGCACUUUAAGUUGGGAGGAAGGGCAGUAAGUUAAUACCUUGCUGUUUUGACGUUACCAACAGAAUAAGCACCGGCUAACUUCGUG